rnacentral:misc_RNA from 1 species
GAGAGCCACUACACAUCCUCGUAACAAGUACUCUGAUAACCCGCCAGAUUUCUCCUUAUUGGCCUCUAAAUACUCUACCUUUGCACCUUACGUUUUCUACUCUGGAGAUGGUCGACCUAGAAUUGAUUGGACCGAUUUCAAUGCAACACGUGAACUCACCAGAGUCUUGCUCCACCAUGAUCAUGGACUCAAUUGGUGGAUUCCCGAUGGACAGCUCUGCCCCACAGUCCCCAACAGAUCAAACUAUAUUCAUUGGAUUGAAGAUCUUUUAUCAUCGGACAUCAUUCCUAAAGUUCAAGCUGACAGAAACACUGCUAAAGGUUUUGAUAUAGGAACUGGGACCAAUUGCAUUUACCCUCUUCUCGGUGCAUCUCUUCUGGGUUGGAAGUUUGUUGGCUCUGAUUUUACUGAUGUAGCUUUGGAGUGGGCAGAGAAAAAUGUCAAAAGUAAUCCUCAUAUUUCUGAAUUGAUUGAGGUCAGAAGAGUUAAUAUGGAAAACCCAGCAUCUUCCAGUGAGGAGUUGAAUGAUGAACCAGGAAAAUAUGGCCAAUGUACGGACGCAGACUUCAACAAUGGAAAGGCUGUUGUCAUUGGGCCUUCACCUCCUGCUCAUCUCCAAAUGCCCUCAGGUAUAGGAAAAGGUUAUGGUGGACCACCUAUACUUGUUGGUGUAGUCAAGGAUGGGGAGAAAUUCGACUUUUGUAUGUGCAACCCUCCUUUUUUUGAGACGAUAGAGGAAGCUGGAUUAAAUCCAAAGACUUCUUGUGGUGGGACUGUGCAGGAGAUGGUUUGUCCUGGGGGAGAGAGUGCUUUUAUCACUCGCAUUAUUGAGGAUAGUGUUCAACUAAGGCAAUCAUUUCGGUGGUACACCUCAAUGGUUGGAAGAAAAGCUAACCUAAAGGUACUGAUAUCAAAGCUUUGGGAGGUUGGAGCAACAAUAGUAAAGACAACUGAAUUUGUGCAAGGCCAAACAUGCCGAUGGGGGCUUGCCUGGUCAUUUCUCCCUGCUUCCAAGAAGAUUUUACCACCUCAUGUGGCUGAAAAGAAUAACAUGUCAUUCAUGCUUGAGGGUCUGCAGCGCCAUCAGAGUGCCUUCGAUGUAUUGCAAUCAGUGGAAUCCUACUUCUGCAAUAUUGGUGCAUCCUCUAAAUUAGACUCUGCCUCAUUCAAAGUUGAUGUAACUUUGUCAGCUGAGCAAUGUAAUACUAUCCUGAAG